rnacentral:rRNA from 1 species
AUUGAACGCUGGCGGCAGGCCUAACACAUGCAAGUCGAACGGUAACAGGAAACAGCUUGCUGUUUCGCUGACGAGUGGCGGACGGGUGAGUAAUGUCUGGGAAACUGCCUGAUGGAGGGGGAUAACUACUGGAAACGGUAGCUAAUACCGCAUAACGUCGCAAGACCAAAGAGGGGGACCUUCGGGCCUCUUGCCAUCGGAUGGGCCCAGGUGGGAUUAGCUAGUAGGUGGGGUAACGGCUCACCUAGGCGACGAUCCCUAGCUGGUCUGCGGGGAUGACCGGCCACACUGGAACUGAGACACGGUCCAGACUCCGACGGGAGGCAGCAGUGGGGAAUAUUGCACAAUGGGCGCAAGCCUGAUGCAGCCAUGUCGCGUGUAUGAAGAAGGCCUUCGGGUUGUAAAGUACUUUCAGCGGGGAGGAAGGGAGUAAAGUUAAUACCUUUGCUCAUUGACGUUACCCGCAGAAGAAGCACCGGCUAACUCCGUGCCAGCCGCCGCGGUAA